rnacentral:tRNA from 1 species
CAGAAUGUAGCUUAUUUAAAGCUUAUUUUUUACAUUAAUAAGAAAAUUAUUUUCUUUCUGA